rnacentral:rRNA from 1 species
UUGACCUCAAAUCAGGUAGGACUACCCGCUGAACUUAAGCAUAUCAAUAAGCGGAGGAAAAGAAACUAACAAGGAUUCCCCUAGUAACUGCGAGUGAAGCGGGAAGAGCUCAAAUUUGUAAUCUGGCAGUUCUUGAACUGUCCGAGUUGUAAUCUAGAGAAGUGUUACCUGUGCUGGACCAUGUACAAGUCUCCUGGAAUGGAAGCAUCACAGAGGGUGAGAAUCCCGUCUUUGACAUGGACUGCCUGCACGUUAUGGUGCGCUCUCAAAGAGUCGAGUUGUUUGGGAAUGCAGCUCAAAAUGGGUGGUAAAUGCCAUCUAAAGCUAAAUAUUGGCGAGAGACCGAUAGCGAACAAGUACCGUGAGGGAAAGAUGAAAAGUACUUUGGAAAGAGAGUUAAACAGUACGUGAAAUUGCUGAAAGGGAAACGCUUGAAGUCAGUCGCGUCGGCUAGAAAUCAGCCUUGCUUUUGCUUGGUGUACUUUCUGGUUUGACGGGUCAGCAUCAAUUUCGAUCAUUGGAUAAAGUCAUCGGGAAUGUGGCAUCUUAGGAUGUGUUAUAGCCCAGUGUCGCAUACAGUGGUUGGGAUUGAGGAACUCAGCACGCCGCAAGGCCGGGUUUCGACCACGUUCGUGCUUAGGAUGCUGGCAUAAUGGCUUUAAUCGACCCGUC